UGAACAGAUUAUUGUAUUCGACUGUAUUCACGACGCGGAACAGGGGACUAUACUGUUUUUAAACUGAAAGUGAAUUAAUUAACAUAAUAGACUCCU
rfam:Nicotiana attenuata strain TT chromosome 2, whole genome shotgun sequence.